rnacentral:rRNA from 1 species
CUUAAGGAAUUGACGGGGCCCGCACAAGCGGUGGAGUAUGUGGUUAAUUCGACGCAACGCGAAGAACCUUACCAGGUCUUGACAUCCCCUGACAACCCAAGAGAUUGGGCGUUCCCCUUCGGGGGACAGGGUGACAGGUGGUGCAUGGUUGUCGUCAGCUCGUGUCGUGAGAUGUUGGGUUAAGUCCCGCAACGAGCGCAACCCUCGCCUCUAGUUGCCAGCAUUCGGUUGGGCACUCUAGAGGGACUGCCGGCGACAAGUCGGAGGAAGUGGGAUGACGUCAAAUCAUCAUGCCCCUUAUGACCUGGGCUACACACGUGCUACAAUGGGCGGUACAAAGGGCUGCGAACCCGCGAGGGGGAGCGAAUCCCAAAAAGCCGCUCUCAGUUCGGAUUGCAGGCUGCAACUCGCCUGCAUGAAGCCGGAAUCGCUAGUAAUCGUGGAUCAGCAUGUCACGGUGAAUACGUUCCCGGGUCUU